rnacentral:rRNA from 1 species
AUGUAAGAGUACCUGUAUCGUCUCGAUACUAGGGGGGUCUGUGUACGGCUCAUUAAACGGUUUAUAGUCUACCCAACGAAGAAGAGACUCGUCUCUUUCGAAGGGAUACCUGUGCCAAAUGCACAGCUAAUACCUGUAAGAUCAAUCCGCGACCGAUCCAACGCCUGAUGUGCAUUCCCACUGAUGGCGUGGUCACGGAUGCUCUUGGCCGAAACAAAGACCAACGCCUCCCUUAACCAUGGGGCAGAUGUAAUUGUUGACGCAGGCCAAUGCUAGCCGAAGCCCGGGAGCCAUUCACGGGCGAUGUUGGACGAAUUUACCACCUAUCAGGUUGAUGGUAGUGUAGUGGACUACCAUGCCUUUAACGGGUAACGGGGGAUUGGGGUUCGACUCCGGAGAGGGUGCCUGAGAGACGGCAACCAUGACUAUGGUCAGCAGCAGGCGCGCAAAUUGCCCAAUGCCAACAAAUAUGGCGAGGCAGCGACGAAAAAUAGCAUUCCUGACGUCUUUUGACUUCAGGGCUUGCCAUGGAUUGUAUCUAAUACACACUGCUGAGUAACAAUUGGAGGGCAAGUCUGGUGCCAGCAGCCGCGGUAAUUCCAGCUCCAAGAGCGUAUAUAAACGUUGUUGCGGUUAAAAAGCCCGUAGUUGGAUUUGAGA